rnacentral:rRNA from 1 species
UACGGUAGGGGCAAGCGUUGUCCGGAUUUACUGGGCGUAAAGAGCGCGCAGGCGGUCGUUCAAGUCGCGUGUGAAAGCCCCCGGCUCAACUGGGGAGGGUCACGCGAUACUGAUCGACUCGAAGGCAGGAGAGGGAAGUGGAAUUCCCGGUGUAGUGGUGAAAUGCGUAGAUAUCGGGAGGAACACCAGUGGCGAAGGCGACUUCCUGGCCUGUUCUUGACGCUGAGGCGCGAAAGCUAGGGGAGCAAACGGG